AGCAAGACACCACUGGCACUUAAUGGUCAUGGAAAUGGAAGCACCCUCGAGCCCCAUGAAAGUCCGUCCCAGUUGAGUCUAAAGUAGGUGGGUGGAGCCAUGCUGCUCAUGUUGUACCUGUUCAGGGGAGCAGCAGAGUCAGCUGUCAUACUUUCCAGAGCUCUGGAGGGGCACAUGCCUGCAGGGCAGCAGAGAUCAAAACAGGAAUCAGUCUACCAUCAUGACUUAUGAAGAAGCAGCUAGUAUAGAAAGUGUCUGAAGCCCAUGGUAGCAAUAGCAGAAGACAACAGAUCACUAUAAAAUCUUACCACACCACUGAUAGAGCAGUCAUUCAACUGAAC